rnacentral:rRNA from 1 species
ACGAACGCUGGCGGCGUGCUUAACACAUGCAAGUCGAACGGUGAAGCGCCUUCCUUUUUGGUGGGUGUGGAUGAGUGGCGAACGGGUGAGUAACACGUGAGUAACCUGCCCCCUUCUUCUGGAUAACCGCAUGAAAGUGUGGCUAAUACGGGAUAUUCUGGGUCUGUCGCAUGAUGGGUCUGGGAAAGAUAUUGUUUCGGUGGGGGAUGGGCUCGCGGCCUAUCAGCUUGUUGAUGGGGUGAUGGCCUACCAAGGCGGUGACGGGUAGCCGGCCUGAGAGGGUGGACGGUCACACUGGGACUGAGACACGGCCCAGACUCCUACGGGAGGCAGCAGUGGGGAAUAUUGCACAAUGGGCGCAAGCCUGAUGCAGCGACGCCGCGUGAGGGAUGGAGGCCUUCGGGUUGUGAACCUCUUUCGCCAGUGAAGCAGGCCUGCCUCGUUUGUGGGUGGGUUGACGGUAGCUGGAUAAGAAGCGCCGGCUAACUACGUG